GAUGAACGCUAGCUACAGGCUUAACACAUGCAAGUCGUGGGGCAUCAUGAUGUAGUAAUACAUUGAUGGCGACCGGCGCACGGGUGAGUAACGCGUAUCCAACCUACCCUCCACUCAAGUAUAGGCUUCCGAAAGGGAGAUUAAUCCUUGAUAUCGUCAUUCUCUCUCCUGUUAGAAUGAUAAAAGGACAUCGUUUCGGUAGAGGAUGGGGAUGCGUUCCAUUAGGUAGUAGGUGGUUUAACAGGCCACCUAGCCGAUGAUGGAUAGGGGUUCUGAGAGGAAUAUCCCCCACACUGGUACUGAGAUACGGACCAGACUCCUACGGGAGGCAGCAGUGAGGAAUAUUGGUCAAUGGGCGCAAGCCUGAACCAGCCAUGUAGCGUGAAGGAUGACGGUUUUUUUAAUUGUAAACUUCUUUUCUGUGCGAUUAAAGUGUGGCAUUU
rnacentral:rRNA from 1 species